GAUGAACGCUGGCGGCGUGCCUAAUACAUGCAAGUCGAGCGAACAGACGAGGAGCUUGCUCCUCUGACGUUAGCGGCGGACGGGUGAGUAACACGUGGAUAACCUACCUAUAAGACUGGGAUAACUUCGGGAAACCGGAGCUAAUACCGGAUAAUAUAUUGAACCGCAUGGUUCAAUAGUGAAAGACGGUUUUGCUGUCACUUCUAGAUGGAUCCGCGCCGCAUUAGCUAGUUGGUAAGGUAACGGCUUACCAAGGCAACGAUGCGUAGCCGACCUGAGAGGGUGAUAGGCCACACGGGAACGGAGACACGGUCCAGAGUCCUACGGGAGGCAGCAGUAGGGAAUCUUCCGCAAUGGGCGAAAGCCUGACGGAGCAACGCCGCGUGAGUGAUGAAGGUCUUCGGAUCGUAAAACUCUGUUAUUAGGGAAGAACAAAUGUGUAAGUAACUAUGCACGUCUUGACGGUACCUAAUCAGAAAGCAACGGCUAACUACGUG
rnacentral:rRNA from 1 species